rnacentral:rRNA from 1 species
AAUGAACGCUGGCGGUAGGCCUAACACAUGCAAGUCGAACGGCAGCACAGUAAGAGCUUGCUCUUACGGGUGGCGAGUGGCGGACGGGUGAGGAAUACAUCGGAAUCUACUUUUUCGUGGGGGAUAACGUAGGGAGACUUACGCUAAUACCGCAUACGACCUACGGGUGAAAGCAGGGGAUCUUCGGACCUUGCGCGAUUGAAUGAGCCGAUGUCGGAUUGGCUAGUUGGCGGGGUAAAGGCCCACCAAGGCGACGAUCCGUAGCUGGUCUGUGAGGAGGAUCAGCCACACUGGAACUUAGACACGGUCCAUACUCCUACGGGAGGCAGCAGUGGGGAAUAUUGGACAAUGGGCGCAAGCCUGAUCCAGCCAUACCGCGUGGGUGAAGAAGGCCUUCGGGUUGUAAAGCCCUUUUGUUGGGAAAGAAAAGCAGCAGGUUAAGACCCCGCUGUUCUGACGGUACCCAAAGAAUAAGCACCGGCUAACUUCGUG